UGGGGAAUAUUGCACAAUGGAGGGAACUCUGAUGCAGCGACGCCGCGUGAGUGAUGAAGGAAUUCGUUUCGUAAAACUCUGUUCUAUGGGAAGAAAAGGACUGUACCAUAGGAGAAAGCUUCGGCUAAAUACGUGCCAGCAGCCGCGGUAAUACGUAUGGAGCGAGCGUUGUCCGGUAUUAUUGGGCGUAAAGGGUGCGAAGGCGGCUUUACAAGUUGGAUGUGAAAUAUUGUGGCUCAACCACAAACGUGCAUCCAAAACUGCAAAGCUUGAGUUCAGGAGAGGUAAGUGGAAUUCCUGGUGUAGCGGUAGAAUGCGUAGAUAUCAGGAGGAAUACCGGUGGCGAAGGCGACUUACUGGACUUAAACUGACGCUCAGGCACGAAAGCGUGGGGAGCAAACAGG
rnacentral:rRNA from 1 species